rnacentral:rRNA from 1 species
AGUCCUAAUAGGGCGUUUAGUCUGUGGUAUUCGGACGUGAAGCGAGAUGAUCUAUGCAUGGCCAGGCUGAAGCGUGGGUAACACCACGUGGAGGGCCGAACCAGUUUGGGUUGAAAACCAUUUGGAUGAGCUGUGCAUAGGGGUGAAAGGCUAAUCAAAUUUCGUGAUAGCUCGUUCUCGCCGAAAUAGCUUUAGGGCUAGCCUCGGAUGAAUCGUCGCGGUGGUAGAGCACUGAAUGGGCUAGGGGCCUCACAAGGUUACCGAACCCAAUCAAACUUCGAAUGCCGCGAACGCAUAUCCGGGAGUCAGACUACGGGGGCUAAGCUCCGUGGUCGAGAGGGAAACAGCCCAGACCGACAACUAAGGUCCCAAAAUCGUCGUUAAGUGGAAAAGGAAGUGGGGAAGCACUGACAGCCAGGAGGUUGGCUUAGAAGCAGCCAUCCUUUAAAGAAAGCGUAAUAGCUCACUGGUCAAGCAGCCCUGCGCCGACAAUAUAACGGGGCUUAAACCACGUACCGAAGUUUCGGAUUCAUGUAGCAAUACAUGGAUGGUAGGCGAGCAUUCCGUAGCUGUGAAGCGGUACCGAAAGGGCCGUUGGAGCGAUCGGAAAAGACUCUGUCGGCAUAAGUAGCGAUAACGCGGGUGAGAACCCCGCGCGCCGUAAACCUAAGGUUUCCUGAGUAAAGUUAAUCUGCUCAGGGUUAGUCGGUACCUAAGGCGAGGCCGAAAGGCGUAGUCGAUGGAAAUCCGGUUAAUAUUCCGGAACCACUAACGUGUGCUGUGGGAGGACGCAGUAGGGUAGGCGAGACGGCCGAUGGAUGUGCCGUUGAACUCACCAUAUCCCGUCGCUUUGGCAAAUCCGGGCGACAUCAGGGUAAAGGUAGGGACGAAAGUAGGGGUAAAACCCGAAAAAAGUCGCUGACCCCAGCUGCCAAGAAAAUUCUCGUUCAGCUAUACACGCGACGUGACCGUACCGCAAACCGACACAGGUAGGUGGGGUGAGAAUCCUAAGGCGCUUGUGAGAACUCUCGUUCAGGAACUCGGCAAACUGACCCCGUAACUUCGGGAGAAGGGGUGCCGUCCUCCGGGACGGUCGCAGAGAAAUGUCCCAGGCGACUGUUUACUAAAAACACAGGUCUCCGCAAAGUCGUGAAGACGACGUAUGGGGGCUGACGCCUGCCCAAUGCUGGAAGGUUAAGAGGAGUGGUCAGCCGCAAGGCGAAGCUACGAAUCGAAGCCCCAGUGAAUGGCGGCCGUAACUAUAACGGUCCUAAGGUAGCGAAAUUCCUUGUCGGGUAAGUUCCGACCUGCACGAAUGGCGUAACGAUCUGGGCGCUGUCUCAACGAGGGGCACUGCGAAUUUGUGGUACCGGUGAAGACGCCGGUUGCCCGUCACAAGACGAAAAGACCCCGUGCACCUUUACUACAUCCUAGUAGUGAAUGCUGGCGCAGUAUGCGCAGGAUAGGUGGGAGGCUUUGAACCCAGGCUUUCGGGCUUGGGGGAGCCAACGGUGAGAUACCACCCUUACUGCUCCGGCGUUCUAACCUCGUUCUGUUAUCCAGAUCAGGGACACUGCUAGGUGGGUAGUUUGACUGGGGCGGUCGCCUCCUAAACUGUAACGGAGGCGC